UCGUGAAUACACAAGAGAAUCUGCAGAUGGCUCAUUAGAUCAGUUAUGGUUUAUUGGAGAACAGUCACUUGCCAUGGAUAACUGUGGUAAUUCUAGAGCUAAUACAUGCGAUUAAGCGCCGACCCUCCGGGGGAAGCGUGCUUUUAUUAGGAACAAGGCCAGCUCGGUUCCCCAGCGAUGGGGGCCGGUCUCCGCUGGUGAACUCUAGAUAACUUCGCCGAUCGCACGGUCUCGCACCGGCGACGCUCCCUUCAAAAGUCUGCUCUAUCAACUUUCGAUGGUAAGUUAUCUGCUUAUCAUGGUUGUGACGGGUAACGGAGAAUCAGGGUUCGAUUCCGGAGAGGGAGCCUGAGAAACGGCUACCACAUCCAAGGAAGGCAGCAGGCACGCAAAUUACCCACUCCCGACACGGGGAGGUAGUGACAAAAAAUAACGAUACAGGCCUCUUCGGAGGCUCUGUGAUCGGAAUGAGUACACUUUAAAUCCUUUAACGAGGAUCUACUGGAGGGCAAGUCUGGUGCCAGCAGCCGCGGUAAUUCCAGCUCCAGCAGCGUAUAUUAAAUUUGCUGCAGUUAAAAAGCUCGUAGUCGGAUUUCUGGCCGGGGCGGGCGGUCCGCCGCGAGGCGAGCACUGCCCGUGUGUCGGCCUUAACGGGCCCGGCACUCUCUCCGGCCAGUGAUUCGGUCGGUCGUGCGGUGCUCUUAGCUGAGUGCCGUGCGAGGCUGAAACGUUUACUUUGAGAAAAUUAGAGUGUUCAAAGCAGGCCAAAGUGCCCGAACAGCUCAGCAUAGAAUAGUGGAAGAGGACCUCGGCUCGUUCUAUUUCGUUGGUCUCUGGAACCUGAGGUAAUGAUCAAGAGGGACUGCCGGGGGCAUUCGUAUUGCGGCGUGAGAGGUGAAAUUCUUGGAUCGUCGCAAGACGCCCGACAGCGAAAGCAUUUGCCAAGAAUGUCUUCAUUGAUCAAGAACGAAAGUCGGAGGAUCGAAGGCGAUCAGAUACCGCCCUAGUUCCGACCAUAAACGAUACCGACCCGUAAUUCGCCGGCGUUCCUCCCAUGACGCGGCGGGCAACUCUCCGGGAAACCAAAGUCUUUGGGUUCCGGGGGAAG
rnacentral:rRNA from 1 species